UUUUUUUGACCAGAAUCCAAUUGGGCAUUGGCACUUAAAAUAUACAAGUAGCACACCAACAGAAAACACUAACAUAAAUUCAAUCCAAUUGCUGAUCCAAGAGCUGCAAUGUAUAUAAGAAAAGAAAUGUGAGUUGAUUACUAUUGUGUAUUUAUGUCAAUGAUAUACACCGUUAUUCAUCUUAUUGGCAACUGUAUUCCUUAUGGCAGAACCAACUUUAACAACUUGAAUAAUAUUUCAAGGCUUUGUAAUCCUCGUCUAGUUAUAAUGAAACUAGUGGGGUGGUGGCGUGCAAUGCACGCAAGAGGCCGGUACCACGCGUAGAGGAACACCGCAUUUCGUUAGUACCAAGUAUCUAUCUUCCCCGAACAUACCGAAGCAGGCCCCGGUCAGGGCUGAAGAGGGUAGUGAAGUUAAGUCGCUCCUCUUCGUUGCCGACCAUUUUUGUUUCGUUUCACAGUUCUUUAAUUUUUCUUCAUUAACCCAAAAAAGUGUGUAUUGCUCCAUAGCCUAGUCCAUUACAUAUGAUUUUGAAAUUUGAAUUUACUUUUUCUAAAGUCAAACAUGAAGCAUAAAUAUGCAGAAUUGUAUAUUAAGUCCUGGGACAAAGAACUUGUGAAAGAAGUGUAUAUCAUAGAGUUCAAAACAAUAAAUUUGAAACUUUACAACUAAUGACUGAAUUAUUGUAUAAGCCCUACCAUAAAAUAAAGGGUGGAGGAAGAAUAAGAAGCCCCUAACGAUGGUUUCAUUUCAGAAGAGGAACUGAAGAAAAUGUACAAACACAAAAAGCAAUGUUAAAAGAAUUAUUUGCUCAAUAUCAUGCAUAUUAUUAUGAGUAUGGGUAAUUUAUAGAAAAUGUCCAAAAUAACACAAUUAGUAUUCACGACGGUGAAGAAUGAAUAGGAGUGGAUUCUUGCUACAUAUUUUCCCAUUUGUGCGUUAUAUCCAAUAGUCUUCUAUUUUAACUGAAACCUUCCUGAGAAGGUGUCUGGACACCUCUAUGAAUCGUAGAAGAAAGUUUCAGACCCUACCAACUUCUCAUGUUCACUUACCAUAUUUGAGAGCGUAAAAGUAUACAAUAUAAUACAUAUCAAUCACAAAUUGUGACAAAUGUAAGUUCAGAUUAGUAUAGUUUAUGUGUACUAAGAGCUUAGAACAAUACAGAACAAAGGAAAAAAUAUAUUUGAUUUACAUAAAACAAUAAGUGGAACAUACUCAUUAAGUAAUAUGUGAAACUUACCUUGUUACAAGCACUAUAGAAUCCAGCGAACAAACAAUGUUGGUCCCAACAGAGAAUAUGCACUUCCACCAAGUCCUGCCAGAGCAAAAAAUUCAUGAUACCAAUAGUGUCUUCAAAGCCACAUCAUGUAUGCAUCUCACUGCCUAAAAUAUUAAGAGAACAAUUCUGACUCACCGUUUAAUUCGCACUUUAAGAAAUGUAAAGAGGGAAUCAAUUUCCCUUUGUGAUAGAAGUACUCCCUCCUCCUUCCAACAAUGUCCAUCUUUUCAAUUUGGGAUGUCCCAAAAAAUAUUGUUCAUUUUGAAAGUCAAAUCAUAAAAUUUGUAAGUUUUCAAAACUAUCCCUUAACAAAUAGAUAUAAAUAUACUUGAAAGUACAAAGGCAAUCUUGAAAAAAAUGCUUAGAUAUUUAGAUUCUAAUGCAUUAAUUGCACGUCCCCUUAAAAAUUUAGAACUCUAAAAAGGGACCACGAUAUGGGAUAGAGGGAGUACCAAUCUAGUCCAGUGAUGUAGAACACCAAUUUCGUCUCACCGCUUAAUUCCCUUUUUCAGAACUGUAAAAGAGCAAAUCAAUUUCCCUUUGCUUAUACAGUGCCAAUUUCAAAUCAUCAAUGAAUUAAUUUUGCUCUUUUCUUGUACCUUCUUUAUGCUCUGGAUCAACCGAUCGAUAGUUAAAAAGAGUUCUCAAGACACACCCAAUCAACACAUUAAUGAAAAAAAAAAAGAAGACAUAAAAUGCAAAAAUAUCAUAACAUGUUAGUAUCAAGUAAGAAACAAACCAAAUAUCACUAUAUGUCAUUGCAUCUCCCUUGAAUUGAAUUGUGGAGAUAUGAUCAAAUUAACCAAAGCCUCCACAUGCAUUUCAAAUAUAAUCCUACUCCAUAAACAACCUCCACAAUGCAUGAAGAUAUGGUAUCCUUCUGUUUGGAAUGCAGACUUGAGUGGA
rnacentral:lncRNA from 1 species